CGCUUUUACGUCUCGUAGGGAUGGGAAGGAAGGACCUGGUGAUGCACAGGGGGUCUUUCCAUCGCCAGAUCUGGUGUAGCACAGCCUCCAGUGUAGCCUUGCAAAGCCGGGGGGGGGGGGGGGGGCACAGCUCAGCCCCCUGAGCUUUGCAGAGCUGCUGGCCCUGCUGGGGAGGAGAGGGAAGCCCCCAGGGUCUCACCCUGCGGGCUUUUUGUGCAAAGCUUUUGUGAGCUGCAAAAAGCUCCCUGCCUGCCUGCAUUUACCAGCCCGGUGGGGUCCUAACGCUUCUUGCUGAGUUUGAGCACGUGGGCUCCUCGAGCCGGGGCAGCUGUGACAGCGAGGGGAUUGAAGUCUGUGCAGCCAGGCUCCUUCUUUCCAUGGCUUUUUAUUUCCUAUUCCCUUUUGAACAUUCAGAGGGUUUUUGAAAAGCCCAGCUUCUUUCUGACAGAGUGAAAUUUUGAAGAUUGUUCAGCUCUGGCAGGAAACAAAGCAGCACUUGACUUUUUGAUUUAGUUUUGUUUCUCCCACUCCUCCUGCUGCUGAGCCUGGUCUCAGCUGCAAUGGUGUCAACCUGGAACAGCGACAUAUCUGCCAAAGCCUGGCCUCUGUUCUUUUUUCCUAAUUUCCCCCUUUUUGCCCCACAAAAGCUCUGAGCCCCCUCUCCUUUGCUCCUUGGUUAGGUGGAGGGAAGCUGGCGGUGUCCCUGGUCCCCUGCACUACUGGGCACGAGCCCUCUGCUCGCUGCCCUGAAAUAAUCCAGAUACCGCAGGGCUUCUGCAAUUAGAAGGAAAAAGGGCAAAAGAGGAGACCACAGUCUAAGUAAGGGAUGCCUUUUAGAACAGCAAAUGCAAGGAUUUUAUUUAUUUUUAGGGGUGCCAGGCACUUGCACACAGUGUGCAGGUAGUGGGGGCUCUGCAAGCCAUCACCCUCCCCAGAAUCCCAUCAGCUGCACGUUCUGGGUCAUUUUUGGCUUUUUUGCUCCCCUCUGAACAAAUCUUCCCCCUUGACCAGGACAGGCUGCUCUGCCCAGUUUGCAGCCAGCAGGGAGAGGUUCCACUUGAAUUUCUCUUUUCUCAUUACCUUUUUCUAAUGACACACACAGAGAAGCCAUACGAUGUCAGGAGUUGGAGAUCUUCUUUUUUUAGUUUCAUGUAAACCAUGUGGGCUGCCUCGCGGACACGUUGCCCUAAGCAUUUCCUAUGAAAACACAUUGCUUGUAUGUUAGUGGUGGUGACCCCUAGCAUGGUGGCUCUACCCGCUUCUGGAGCCAGCCUCAGCCUGACGAUGUUGGCUUUGGUGGCUGCUGUCAUCCUCCCUGCUGGGCAGCAUCGUCCCCGUGGGCAGAAAAUCAGUUUGCUGCUUUCCCCCAGGAGGAAUUUUUGGAAAAUGCGUAUAAGAGGUGGGGGGGAGGGGGAA